rnacentral:rRNA from 1 species
GACGAACGCUGGCGGCGUGCUUAACACAUGCAAGUCGAACGGAAAGGCCCUGCUUUUGUGGGGUGCUCGAGUGGCGAACGGGUGAGUAACACGUGAGUAACCUGCCCUUGACUUUGGGAUAACUUCAGGAAACUGGGGCUAAUACCGGAUAGGAGCUCCUGCUGCAUGGUGGGGGUUGGAAAGUUUCGGCGGUUGGGGAUGGACUCGCGGCUUAUCAGCUUGUUGGUGGGGUAGUGGCUUACCAAGGCUUUGACGGGUAGCCGGCCUGAGAGGGUGACCGGCCACAGUGGGACUGAGAUACGGCCCAGACUCCUACGGGAGGCAGGAGGGGGGAAUAUUGCACAAUGGGCGGAAGCCUGAUGCAGCAACGCCGGGUGCGGGAUGACGGCCUUCGGGUUUUAAACCGCUUUCGCCUGUGACGAAGCGUGAGUGACGGUAAUGGGUAAAGAAGCACCGGCUAACUACGUG